CAGCGCGUGUUUGAGAACAGUUCGUCAAUGAUGCUGCGUUUUCCUCUUUGACCCAAACGGCCUGACUAUGUUGCGGUUCCGAGUACAGCGUCUGUCAAAGAUUUGCUCACGCCGUUGAACAAGAAGUGGUUCGAACUUUUGACUAUGUAUUUCAAGGUCCAUGGUAAGUGCUUGCAGGUUUUAAAAGACGCCACCUUUGGAUUGCAUACCGACUUUCGUGAGAACCACGAUUGCGAUCAUGAAGUUGAAAUUCUCCUUUCAGCGGUGGCUGUUUAAUGCGUGGCAUUUUAAAGGAGUUGAUUAAUUGUAUUGACACGGUUUGCCAAAUUUGAUCCAAAUUAUAAAUGUGGUUCUUCCGGAGGAUUUUAAUGAAACUAAUAAAACCACACAACUCGACACCAAAAAAUUUAUUCCAACGAAAAUGGACUAAAAGCCAUUUGCCAAGAAAUGGUGUGCCUGAAUGAUGAUCAAUAAAAUGGCGUUGGUCUUUCGGCUGGAAAUAAUGACACAAAGGGGCAAAUAAUAAAAUGGAAUUGCAAGUUCGGGGGGUGGGGGGAGGCUACAUUCCAGUCCAAAAGUGUUCUAAAAUUGUUCUAAUCUUGAUUGGAAAUGCUCCAGAUGAUGUUAGAAAUGACCAGGAUUGUGUAGAGUUUUUCCAAGAUGGGGUAACGCAUAUGAAUGACUUCAAAAAUGUAAAAGGCAGCCGAAACAAGUGGCACGUCUGUGUAAACUGUCAAGAAUAUUCUGUCAUCAACUUCCAAUAAGCAGGAUUCGAUGACACGGCAAUUUGCUUUGUUUCCACUCUCAGUUGGCCAUUGUAUGUUGCGAUGAAUCAGAGCAGCUCAUCUUCGGUGUGCAGAAGGUCAGACUGUAGUGAUUCCAACAGCGAUCCCAUCGUCGUCAUCCUCGGGCUGUACGAAGACGGGCACGUUGUUGUUCUUUGUGGCUAUCGGAGAUGCUUUGUUGCCAGGUCAGAGUUAUUUUGUUGUGCUGACGGAGUCCUCCGACGACAGUCGGAUGGUACGUUCCAGCGUGCUGAAGUCAGGGAGGAGGCACGCGUGCGGCCGGGAGACUGACGGGGGGGACCAUCAGUCAUAAACAAACGGCCUUUUAUGGAGUGACCGGUGCCCUCGCUCGGAACUCAAGAAAGUGUGUUUAGCUUCAAUCGUUUACAUGGAAGUCAAGAAUGACAAAACACUGUCCUGACAGAACGCAGGGGGACACCGGCUUGGCUCGUCCAGACAAAGUAUUGCCAACGCGGAACGCUAAAGGAAAUCCGAUGGACCCAUCGGAAAUACUGCAUCUUACAAUCCGGAAUUCUAUUCGACUCGUUUGGAUCGGGAUUGAUUUUUGUGAUAAGAAUUGACGGCAAUAACAUGAAGCAGUUCAAACUUUUGAGGUAUUGUGUAAGUGAUGUUUCACUAAUUUCAUUCAUCGGUUGGAAAAGCGAUUGAUAAUAAAACCAAUGUGUUGCGCCUUUGAUCGGCGUUUCCUUGGUCUUGGACAUCAGGGGAUUCUUCCAAUAAUUGCAUCUUGAAACCUCUCAGGCCCGAUGUGCAGCACCUUCGCUAUGACCAGCAGGGGUGCAGUUCAUACAUUCUUGAUCAGUUUGCAAUCAAGAGAAAAUUCUCAUGGCUAAAAAAAAAAAAAUCCAAUUUUCGGAAGGUUGCUUGGAAAGUCGAUUUGUAUGCAUUUUCCAAAUAUCUCCGUUUCUGUUGGACUUGUCCUCAUUUGGGUCACGGGUUAACUGGAGCCUAUGCGAGCUGGAUAGCAGGCGAGGUACACCCUGGACUGGUCGCCAGCCAAUCGCAGGCCACAUAGAGACAACCAGCCAGUGACACCCACAUUCACGCCUGUUCUCAAUGAACUUCCCGUGCAUAUUUUUGCAAUCUCUGAUGAAGCCGGAGGACCUGGAUAAAGCCAACAUCAUAGUAACGGAGUCAGUCAUCAAAAGAUUGCUUCCAUGCCAUCUAGGUGCCGAGGAACUGUUGUAAGUGAAGGGUGGAGCUUCCUUUAGCCAGGCCAUGGCCUCGUAUU